CCCUUAGAUGUUCUGGGCUGCACGCGCGCUACACUGAAGCUAUCAACACGUUUUCCCUCCCUGAGAAGGGCGGGUAACCUUUUGAAUCAGCUUCGUGGUAGGGAUCGGGGCUUGCAAUUGUUCCCCGUGAACCAGGAAUUCCUAGUAGACGCGAGUCAUAAGCUCGCAUCGAUUAAGUCCCUGCCCUUUGUACACACCGCCCGUCGCUACUACCGCUUGAACGUUUUAGUGAGGCAUUUGGACCGACGCAUCUCAGUUUAACCGCUGGUUUGUGUUGGAAAGACUUCCAAACUUGAGCGUUUAGAGGAAGUAAAAGUCGUAACA
rnacentral:rRNA from 1 species